GACGAACCGUGCGAACGUUGUUCGGAAUCACUGGGCAUAAAGGGCGCGUAGGCGGCUUAUCAAGUCAGGGGUGAAAUCCGGCAGCUCAACUGUCGAAGUGCCUUUGAUACUGAUGAGCUAGAGGGAGAUAGGGGUAUGCGGAACUUCCGGUGGAGCGGUGAAAUGCGUUGAUAUCGGAAGGAACGCCGGUGGCGAAAGGCGGCGUACUGGAUCUCUUCUGACGCUGAGGCGCGGAAAGCUAGGG
rnacentral:rRNA from 1 species